rnacentral:rRNA from 1 species
GACGAACCAUCCAAACGUUAUUCGGAAUUACUGGGCUUAAAGGGUGCGUAGGCUGCGCAGAAAGUUGGGUGUGAAAUACCUCGGCUCAACCGAGGAACUGCGCCCAAAACUACUGUGCUCGAGGGAGAUAGAGGUAAGCGGAACUGAGGGUGGAGCGGUGAAAUGCGUUGAUAUCCUCAGGAACACCGGUGGCGAAAGCGGCUUACUGGAUCUCCUCUGACGCUGAGGCACGAAAGCUAGGGUAGCGAACGGG